AGAGUUUGAUCAUGGCUCAGAUUGAACGCUGGCGGCAGGCCUAACACAUGCAAGUCGAGCGGUAGCACAGAGAGCUUGCUCUCGGGUGACGAGCGGCGGACGGGUGAGUAAUGUCUGGGAAACUGCCUGAUGGAGGGGGAUAACUACUGGAAACGGUAGCUAAUACCGCAUAACGUCGCAAGACCAAAGUGGGGGACCUUCGGGCCUCAUGCCAUCAGAUGUGCCCAGAUGGGAUUAGCUAGUAGGUGGGGUAAUGGCUCACCUAGGCGACGAUCCCUAGCUGGUCUGAGAGGAUGACCAGCCACACUGGAACUGAGACACGGUCCAGACUCCUACGGGAGGCAGCAGUGGGGAAUAUUGCACAAUGGGCGCAAGCCUGAUGCAGCCAUGCCGCGUGUGUGAAGAAGGCCUUCGGGUUGUAAAGCACUUUCAGCGGGGAGGAAGGCGUUAAGGUUAAUAACCUUGGCGAUUGACGUUACCCGCAGAAGAAGCACCGGCUAACUCCGUGCCAGCAGCCGCGGUAAUACGGAGGGUGCAAGCGUUAAUCGGAAUUACUGGGCGUAAAGCGCACGCAGGCGGUCUGUCAAGUCGGAUGUGAAAUCCCCGGGCUCAACCUGGGAACUGCAUUCGAAACUGGCAGGCUAGAGUCUUGUAGAGGGGGGUAGAAUUCCAGGUGUAGCGGUGAAAUGCGUAGAGAUCUGGAGGAAUACCGGUGGCGAAGGCGGCCCCCUGGACAAAGACUGACGCUCAGGUGCGAAAGCGUGGGGAGCAAACAGGAUUAGAUACCCUGGUAGUCCACGCCGUAAACGAUGUCGAUUUGGAGGUUGUGCCCUUGAGGCGUGGCUUCCGGAGCUAACGCGUUAAAUCGACCGCCUGGGGAGUACGGCCGCAAGGUUAAAACUCAAAUGAAUUGACGGGGGCCCGCACAAGCGGUGGAGCAUGUGGUUUAAUUCGAUGCAACGCGAAGAACCUUACCUGGUCUUGACAUCCACAGAACUUUCCAGAGAUGGAUUGGUGCCUUCGGGAACUGUGAGACAGGUGCUGCAUGGCUGUCGUCAGCUCGUGUUGUGAAAUGUUGGGUUAAGUCCCGCAACGAGCGCAACCCUUAUCCUUUGUUGCCAGCGGUCCGGCCGGGAACUCAAAGGAGACUGCCAGUGAUAAACUGGAGGAAGGUGGGGAUGACGUCAAGUCAUCAUGGCCCUUACGACCAGGGCUACACACGUGCUACAAUGGCAUAUACAAAGAGAAGCGACCUCGCGAGAGCAAGCGGACCUCAUAAAGUAUGUCGUAGUCCGGAUUGGAGUCUGCAACUCGACUCCAUGAAGUCGGAAUCGCUAGUAAUCGUAGAUCAGAAUGCUACGGUGAAUACGUUCCCGGGCCUUGUACACACCGCCCGUCACACCAUGGGAGUGGGUUGCAAAAGAAGUAGGUAGCUUAACCUUCGGGAGGGCGCUUACCACUUUGUGAUUCAUGACUGGGGUGAAGUCGUAACAAGGUAACCGUAGGGGAACCUGCGGUUG
rnacentral:rRNA from 1 species